CACAUGCAAGUCUCAGCACACCCGUGAGAACACCCUUCAUUCCUUUACCAGGCCAAGGAGUCGGCAUCAGGCACAGAACUCUAGCCCACAACGCCUAGUCUUACCACACCCCUAAGGGCAUCCAGCAGUGAUAAAUUUUAAACAUAAGCGUCAGCUUGAUUUAGUUAGAGAAAAAAGGGCCGGCCAAUCCGGUGCCAGCCGCCGCGGCUAAACCGUCAGACCCAAGUUAAUAACUUCCGGCGUUAAUCGUGAUUAAAGUACCCAAACACUAGAGUUAAAUUCUGACCCAGCCGUUAUAAGCUUGUCUAUUAGAAGCACACAAACGAAAGNUACUCUAUCCCUCACGUUAACACACNACAAUUAGGAGACAAACUGGGAUUAGAUACCCCACUAUG
rnacentral:rRNA from 1 species